rnacentral:lncRNA from 1 species
UCGCAGGAGCUGAUCACCGCCUGGUACAUCGGGUUCCUGGUGCUCAUCUUCGCCUCCUUCCUGGUCUAUCUGGCUGAGAAGGACGCCAACUCGGACUUCUCCUCCUACGCCGACUCGCUCUGGUGGGGGACGAUCACACUGACGACCAUUGGCUAUGGUGACAAGACACCGCACACAUGGCUGGGCAGGGUCCUGGCGGCCGGCUUCGCCUUACUGGGCAUCUCCUUCUUUGCCUUGCCUGCCGGCAUCCUGGGCUCUGGCUUUGCCCUGAAGGUGCAGGAGCAGCACCGUCAGAAGCACUUCGAGAAGAGGAGGAUGCCUGCAGCCAACCUCAUCCAGGCUGCCUGGCGCCUGUACUCCACCGACACGAGCCGGGCCUACCUGACGGCCACCUGGUACUACUACGACAGUAUCCUCCCAUCCUUCAGAGAGCUGGCCCUCUUGUUUGAGCACGUGCAACGGGCCCGCAACGGGGGCCUACGGCCCCUGGAGGUGCGGCGGGCGCCGGUACCUGACGGAG